AGCUCUUGCUCUUGCUCCUUCGCCUGCUUGCUGCGUGAGACUGAGUAACUGCUAGAUCCUUGGACUUCCAUUCACAGCUGCGACUGAACCAUUGUUGGGAAUUGGGCUGCCGACUUGCAGAAAACAGAUGGAUCAUGGAGAAUGACAGUUGAUUACCGAAAACUAAAUCAGGUAGUAACUCCAAUUGCAGCUGCUGUACCAGAUGUAGUUUCGUUACUUGAGCAAAUUAACACAUCUCCUGGCACCUGGUAUGUGGCUAUUGAUCUGGCAAAUGCCUUCUUCUCAGUACCUGUCCAUAAGGACCACCAGAAGCAAUUUGCUUUCAGUUGGCAAGGCCAACAGUAUACCUUCACAGUUUUGCCUCAAGGAUAUAUUAACUCUCCUGCCCUGUGUCAUAAUUUAGUUAGAAGGGAUCUUGAUCGUUUGGAUCUUCCACAAAAUAUCACAUUGGUGCACUAUAUUGAUGACAUUAUGCUGAUUGGACCAAGUGAGCAGGAAGUAGCAACCACUUUGGACUCAUUGGUAACACAUAUGCGUAUCAGAGGAUGGGAAAUAAAUCCAACCAAAAUUCAAGGACCAUCUACCUCAGUGAAAUUCUUAGGAGUCCAGUGGUGUGGGGCAUGCAGAGAUAUUCCUUCUAAGGUGAAAGAUAAGUUAUUGCACCUGGCCCCUCCUACAACCAAGAAAGAAGCACAACGUUUAGUGGGUCUAUUUGGAUUCUGGAGACAACACAUCCCUCACUUGGGUGUGUUACUUAGGCCUAUUUACCAAGUGACUCGGAAAGCUGCUAGCUUUGUGUGGGGCCUGGAACAGGAGAAGGCCCUUCAACAGGUCCAGGCUGCUGUGCAGGCUGCUCUACCACUUGGACCAUAUGACCCAGCAGAUCCGAUGGUACUUGAGGUGUCUGUGGCUGAUAGAGAUGCUGUUUGGAGCCUCUGGCAGGCCCCUGUAGGUGAAUCACAGAAAAGGCCUUUGGGAUUUUGGAGCAAAGCUCUACCAUCAUCUGCAGACAACUAUUCUCCCUUUGAAAAACAGCUCUUGGCCUGCUAUUGGGCCUUAGUGGAAACUGAACGUCUGACAAUAGGACACCAAGUCACUAUGCGACCUGAACUACCCAUCAUGAGCUGGGUACUAUCAGACCCUGCAAGUCAUAAAGUGGGACGUGCACAGCAGCAGUCUAUUAUCAAAUGGAAGUGGUAUAUACGUGAUCGGGCCAGAGCAGGUCCUGAAGGCACAAGCAAGUUACAUGAAGAAGUUGCUCAAAUGCCUAUGGUUUCUACUCCUGUUACAAUGCCAUCUGCUGCCAAGCAUGCACCUAUAGCCUCAUGGGGUGUUCCCUAUGAUCAACUGACCGAAGAGGAGAAGACUAGAGCCUGGUUUACUGAUGGCUCUGCACGUUAUGCAGGCACCACCCAGAAGUGGACAGCUGCAGCAUUACAACCCCUUUCUGGGACAACCUUGAAAGACACAGGUGAAGGGAAAUCUUCACAGUGGGCAGAACUUCGGGCAGUACACAUGGUAUUACAGUUUGUUUGCAAGAAGAAAUGGCCAGAUGUACGAUUAUACACUGAUUCAUGGGCUGUAGCCAAUGGAUUGGCUGGAUGGUCAGGGACUUGGAAAGAUCACAAUUGGAAAAUUGGUGAGAAAGACAUCUGGGGAAGAAGUAUGUGGAUAGAUCUCUCCAAAUGGGCAAAGGAUGUGAAGAUAUUUGUGUCCCAUGUAAAUGCUCACCAAAAGGUGACUUCAGCUGAGGAGGAGUUCAAUAAUCAAGUGGAUAAGAUGACCCGUUCUGUGGACAAUCAGCCUCUCUCCCCAGCCAUCCCUGUCAUUGCUCAAUGGGCACAUGAACAAAGUGGCCAUGGUGGUCGAGAUGGAGGUUAUGCUUGGGCUCAGCAACAUGGGCUUCCACUCACCAAAGCUGACCUGGCUACAGCUGCUGCUGAUUGCCAGAUCUGCCAACAGCAGAAACCAACACUGAGUCCCAGAUAUGGCACCAUUCCUCGAGGUGACCAGCCAGCAACCUGGUGGCAGGUUGACUACAUUGGACCACUUCCUUCGUGGAAAGGACAGCGUUUUGUUCUUACUGGAGUAGAUACUUAUUCUGGUUAUGGAUUUGCCUUUCCUGCACGUAAUGCCUCUGCUAAAACCACCAUUCAUGGAUUGACAGAAUGCCUCAUCUAUCGUCAUGGUAUUCCACACAGUAUUGCUUCUGACCAAGGAACUCAUUUCACAGCCAGAGAAGUACGACAGUGGGCCCACGAUCAUGGAAUUCACUGGUCUUACCACAUUCCCCAUCAUCCUGAAGCAGCUGGGCUGAUAGAAAGAUGGAAUGGCCUUUUGAAGAUGCAGUUACAGCGCCAAUUAGGCGGUAACAGCUUGGAAGGCUGGGGCAGAGUUCUUCAGAAGGCAGUAUAUGCUUUGAAUCAGCGCUCGAUAUAUGGUACAGUUUCACCCAUAGCCAGGAUUCAUGGGUCCAGGAAUCAAGGGGUGGAAAAUGGAAUAGUUCCACUUACUAUCACUCCUAGUGACCCUUUAGGAAAAUUUUUGCUUCCUGUCCCCAUAACUCUAGGUUCUGCUGGCUUAGAAGUUUUGGCUCCAGAGAGGGGAGUGCUCCUACCAGGAGCUACAACAAACAUUCCAUUGAACUGGAAGCUCAGACUUCCCCCUGGUCAUUUUGGGCUUCUAAUGCCCUUAAACCAACAGGC
rnacentral:lncRNA from 1 species